rnacentral:rRNA from 1 species
UUCGGCGGGAUUGCCCCGGGCGCCUCGUGUGCCCCGGAUCAGGCGCCCGCCUAGGAACUUUAACUCUUGUUUUAUUUUGAAUCUUCUGAGUAGUUUUUACAAAUAAAUAAAAACUUUCAACAACGGAUCUCUUGGUUCUGGCAUCGAUGAAGAACGCAGCGAAAUGCGAUAAGUAAUGUGAAUUGCAGAAUUCAGUGAAUCAUCGAAUCUUUGAACGCACAUUGCGCCCGCCAGUAUUCUGGCGGGCAUGCCUGUCUGAGCGUCAUUUCAACCCUCAUGCCCCUAGGGCGUGGUGUUGGGGAUCGGCCAAAGCCCGCGAGGGACGGCCGGCCCCUAAAUCUAGUGGCGGACCCGUCGUGGCCUCCUCUGCGAAGUAGUGAUAUUCCGCAUCGGAGAGCGAUGAGCCCCUGCCGUUAAACC